rnacentral:rRNA from 1 species
GACGAACGCUGGCGGCGUGCUUAACACAUGCAAGUCGAACGAAGUGGCGGACGGGUGAGUAACGCGUAAUCAACCUGCCCUUCAGAGGGGGACAACAGUUGGAAACGACUGCUAAUACCGCAUACUGAAGGUGGAGAUUGAGUGUGAUUAGCUAGUUGGAGGGGUAACGGCCAACCAAGGCGAUGAUCAGUAGCCGGUCUGAGAGGAUGAACGGCCACAUUGGGACUGGGACACGGCCCAGAAUCCUACGGGAGGCAGCAGUGGGGAAGCUUCCGCAAUGGACGAAAGUCUGACGGAGCAACGCCGCGUGAGUGAUGACGGCCUUCGGGUUGUAAAGCUCUGUUAAGCGGGACGCGGUACCGGAAUAGAAAGCCACGGCUAACUACGUGCCAGCAGCCGCGGUAAUUC